rnacentral:rRNA from 1 species
AGCGUACACGGUGGAUGCCUAGGCAGUCAGAGGCGAUGAAGGGCGUGCUAAUCUGCGAAAAGCGUCGGUAAGGUGAUAUGAACCGUUACAACCGGCGAUACCCGAAUGGGGAAACCCAGUGUGUUUCGACACACUAUCAUGUCAUGAAUACAUAGUGGCAUGAGGCGAACCGGGGGAACUGAAACAUCUAAGUACCCCGAGGAAAAGAAAUCAACCGAGAUUCCCCCAGUAGCGGCGAGCGAACGGGGAGGAGCCCAGAACCUGAAUCGGCUUGUGUGUUAGUGGAAGCGUCUGGAAAGUCGCGCAGCAAAGGGUGAUAGCCCCGUACACUAAAAUGCACAGGUCGUGAGUUCGAUGAGUAGGGCGGGACACGUGACAUCCUGUCUGAAUAUGGGGGGACCAUCCUCCAAGGCUAAAUACUCCUGACUGACCGAUAGUGAACCAGUACCGUGAGGGAAAGGCGAAAAGAACCCCGGCGAGGGGAGUGAAAUAGAACCUGAAACCGUGUACGUACAAGCAGUGGGAGCACCUUCGUGGUGUGACUGCGUACCUUUUGUAUAAUGGGUCAGCGACUUAUAUUUUGUAGCAAGGUUAACCGUAUAGGGGAGCCGUAGGGAAACCGAGUCUUAACUGGGCGAAUAGUUGCAAGGUAUAGACCCGAAACCCGGUGAUCUAGCCAUGGGCAGGUUGAAGGUUGGGUAACACUAACUGGAGGACCGAACCGACUAAUGUUGAAAAAUUAGCGGAUGACUUGUGGCUGGGGGUGAAAGGCCAAUCAAACCGGGAGAUAGCUGGUUCUCCCCGAAAGCUAUUUAGGUAGCGCCUCGUGAACUCAUCUUCGGGGGUAGAGCACUGUUUCGGCUAGGGGGCCAUCCCGGCUUACCAAACCGAUGCAAACUCCGAAUACCGAAGAAUGUUAUCACGGGAGACACACGGCGGGUGCUAACGUCCGUCGUGAAGAGGGAAACAACCCAGACCGCCAGCUAAGGUCCCAAAGUCAUGGUUAAGUGGGAAACGAUGUGGGAAGGCAUAGACAGCCAGGAUGUUGGCUUAGAAGCAGCCAUCAUUUAAAGAAAGCGUAAUAGCUCACUGGUCGAGUCGGCCUGCGCGGAAGAUGUAACGGGGCUAAACCAUGCACCGAAGCUGCGGCAGCGACGCUUAGGCGUUGUUGGGUAGGGGAGCGUUCUGUAAGCCGUUGAAGGUGGCCUGUGAGGGUUGCUGGAGGUAUCAGAAGUGCGAAUGCUGACAUAAGUAACGAUAAAGCGGGUGAAAAGCCCGCUCGCCGGAAGACCAAGGGUUCCUGUCCAACGUUAAUCGGGGCAGGGUGAGUCGACCCCUAAGGCGAGGCUGAAAAGCGUAGUCGAUGGGAAACAGGUUAAUAUUCCUGUACUUGGUGUUACUGCGAAGGGGGGACGGAGAAGGCUAGGCUAGCCGGGCGACGGUUGUCCCGGUUUAAGCGUGUAGGGGGUGUGACCUGGUAAAUCCGGUUACAUAUCAACCCUGAGGCGUGAUGACGAUGCACUACGGUGCAGAAGUAGUUGAUGCCCUGCUUCCAGGAAAAGCCUCUAAGCUCCAGGUAACAUUAAAUCGUACCCCAAACCGACACAGGUGGUCAGGUAGAGAAUACCAAGGCGCUUGAGAGAACUCGGGUGAAGGAACUAGGCAAAAUGGUGCCGUAACUUCGGGAGAAGGCACGCUGGCAUGUAGGUGAAGUCCCUUGCGGAUGGAGCUGAAGCCAGUCGAAGAUACCAGCUGGCUGCAACUGUUUAAUAAAAACACAGCACUGUGCAAACACGAAAGUGGACGUAUACGGUGUGACGCCUGCCCGGUGCUGGAAGGUUAAUUGAUGGGGUCAGCCGCAAGGCGAAGCUCUUGAUCGAAGCCCCAGUAAACGGCGGCCGUAACUAUAACGGUCCUAAGGUAGCGAAAUUCCUUGUCGGGUAAGUUCCGACCUGCACGAAUGGCGUAAUGAUGGCCAGGCUGUCUCCACCCGAGACUCAGUGAAAUUGAACUCGCUGUGAAGAUGCAGUGUACCCGCGGCAAGACGGAAAGACCCCGUGAACCUUUACUAUAGCUUGACACUGAACAUUGAGCCUUGAUGUGUAGGAUAGGUGGGAGGCUUUGAAGCGUGGACGCCAGUCUGCGUGGAGCCAUCCUUGAAAUACCACCCUUUAAUGUUUGAUGUUCUAACUCGGCCCCAUAAUCUGGGGUGAGGACAGUGUCUGGUGGGUAGUUUGACUGGGGCGGUCUCCUCCCAAAGAGUAACGGAGGAGCACGAAGGUUAGCUAAUCACGGUCGGACAUCGUGAGGUUAGUGCAAAGGCAUAAGCUAGCUUGACUGCGAGAGUGACGGCUCGAGCAGGUACGAAAGUAGGUCUUAGUGAUCCGGUGGUUCUGAAUGGAAGGGCCAUCGCUCAACGGAUAAAAGGUACUCCGGGGAUAACAGGCUGAUACCGCCCAAGAGUUCAUAUCGACGGCGGUGUUUGGCACCUCGAUGUCGGCUCAUCACAUCCUGGGGCUGAAGUAGGUCCCAAGGGUAUGGCUGUUCGCCAUUUAAAGUGGUACGCGAGCUGGGUUUAGAACGUCGUGAGACAGUUCGGUCCCUAUCUGCCGUGGGCGUUGGAAGAUUGAGAGGGGUUGCUCCUAGUACGAGAGGACCGGAGUGAACGCACCACUGGUGUUCGGGUUGUCAUGCCAAUGGCAUUGCCCGGUAGCUAAGUGCGGAAAAGAUAAGCGCUGAAAGCAUCUAAGCGCGAAACUUGCCUCAAGAUGAGUCUUCCCUGGGCCUUUAAGGCCCCUGAAGGAACGUUUAAGACUAAGACGUUGA